UGCGAGUCAUUGUAGUAAUACAAGGCAGACGGCUCAGUAACGCGUAGUCACACCUAACCUAUGGACGGGAAUAACCUCGGGAAACUGAGUAUAAUGCCCGAUAGAACAUUAUACCUGGAAUGGUUUAUGUUCCAAAUGAUUUAUCGCCGUAGGAUGGGACUGCGGCCUAUCAGUUUGUUGGUGAGGUAAUGGCCCACCAAGACUAUUACAGGUACGGGCUCUGAGAGGAGUAGCCCGGAGAUGGGUACUGAGACACGGACCCAGGCCCUAUGGGGCGCAGCAGGCGAGAAAACUUUGCAAUGUGCGAAAGCACGACAAGGUUAAUCCGAGUGGUUUCUGCUAAAGGAACCUUUUGUCGGUCCUAGAAACACCGAUGAAUAAGGGGUGGGCAAGUUCUGGUGUCAGCCGCCGCGGUAAAACCAGCACCUCAAGUGGUCAGGAUGAUUAUUGGGCCUAAAGCAUCCGUAGCCGGCUCUGUAAGUUUUCGGUUAAAUCUGUACGCUUAACGUACAGGCUGCCGGGAAUACUGCAGAGCUAGGGAGUGGGAGAGGUAGACGGUACUCGGUAGGAAGGGGUAAAAUCCUUUGAUCUAUUGAUGACCACCUGUGGCGAAGGCGGUCUACCAGAACACGUCCGACGGUGAGGGAUGAAAGCUGGGGGAGCAAACCGGAUUAGAUACCCGGGUAGUCCCAGCUGUAAACUAUGCAAACUCAGUGAUGCAUUGGCUUGUGGCCAAUGCAGUGCUGCAGGGAAGCCGUUAAGUUUGCCGCCUGGGAAGUACGUACGCAAGUAUGAAACUCAAAGGGAUUGACGGAAUCACU
rnacentral:rRNA from 1 species